UCUUCCGGUUGGUCAUAAUACGGCGGAUCCUGUCUUUGUGGCGGUGCCGGCUGGCGGUUGACGACGGGGGCCACUACUGGCGCUCUAUACGGUGGAAUGUUGUGAACAUUGUUCCGUUGCCUGUUCUGGACUGGAUGUGGUUGGUUACGAUUUCGAACUCUGACCAUUUUCAAUUUAUUCUGAGUAGAGAUUACUACUGGAAGAUGCUGCAGAAAGACUGUUUUCUUUGAUAAUCACAAUUUGAAGAUCGCAAUACAUUUUGUGGUGAUUGGCUUGCCUUUAUAUUCAAACGCAUGCGUUUCCUGUACCUUUGCAAGUGCCUCAUCGUCCACUCAAUUCCUUUUUAAAAGAAAACUGUUGGCCGAAAACCCUUCAAAGUGGGGUAAUCUUGUUUAAAACAAUUAACCACACAUUCUUCAAUUCAAAUUUAUUUCAAAAAAUUAGUAUAACAAUUAAUAAACUCAAUUAAACGAGUCUUUUUCGAUCAGAUCUCUGGUGGGCGUCACGUGACCAGACUAGCAGACUACUCAAUCGUCAAGUCACGCACUAUGCCUCACAGGUAAGAAACGGUAAAGUUUUGAGCACGCCCUUGUGGAUAUCAACCAGCAAAGGAGAACUCGGGCGACAAGACGAGUUUGACCGUGGUGUUAUGGACCGACUCGUCAAAGACAUUGCCACGCCCAGUACCGCUAAAGGGAAUAUCGAUCCAAUAGUACGACGGUGAGCAAUCCUUGCCUCAACAGCCCAUGCACUCCCUUCUGUGUCCUUAUUCCGGGCGGAUAUCCUUGCUCCUGCCUCGACAGCACGAUCUUGGUUCAAUCUGGUGAAGAACUGUCGUGGGACGUGACUGAGGAACGACCUCAACCGUCUCCUUUUGCGCUGCCCUUGCCAGAAUCUUGGGGUCUGCACUGGCGACGGCCAAGUCCAUUGCCAGUGCCCCAACGAUUAUUACGAAGGCGCCCAUUGCGAGACCAACUUGUUGCGCCGUAGUUAACAUUAACAACAAUCACGAGUUGUACCAGUCGAUUACGAAAUCGCUUUGUACAACAGCAAACUAUUUUGGGUUUAACUUUGGUCUUUUUCAUCAAAUGUUUUGCAACUGAUUUAUUUUCUUACGUGUUUUUAAAUUUUGUUUU